rnacentral:rRNA from 1 species
GAUGACCUACGGGGCGCAGCAGUGAGGAAUAUUGGUCAAUGGUCGGGGGACUGAACCAGCCAAGCCGCGUGAGGGAUGAAGGUACAGAGUAUCGUAAACCUCUUUUGUCAGGGAACAAAGGCGGGGACGCGUCCCCGGAUGAGUGUACCUGAAGAAAAAGCAUCGGCUAACUCCGUGCCAGCAGCCGCGGUAAUACGGAGGAUGCGGGCGUUAUCCGGAUUUAUUGGGUUUAAAGGGUGCGCAGGCGGUCUGUUAAGUCAGCGGUCAAAGCCCGGGGCUCAACCCCGGUCCACCGUUGAAACUGG